AUGAUCUAUAGAGACGAAAUAAAUACAUACAUACAUACAUACAUACAUAAGAAAUUCCUUAAUUCAACAUGAGCAAGAACAUUAAUACAUCAAUUUCUCUUUUUUCGAUUUCUGUGAAACACUGCAUUCUAAAAUAACUUGCUUAUGAAAUUUAAUAACUGGUGGGGAAAACAGAGUUUAGAAAACUGUAAAGAACUGACCUGCAAUAUGUGCUAUACUUAUGUAAAUAUAAAGUCAAGGACUGGGCAUUGUUGUUCCAUUCUUUUGAUAUUAUAAUGUUCUUGUAAUAAUAAUAGAAGUCUUACGGUACCAGAAUUUUAAAAUCCAAUAUUUACUGACAUAUUUUGCAUAGAAUACAGUACAAUUUGUAGUUUAGUUGUUAUCAGGUAGUUAUUAUAUUAAUUCAUGUCAUCGGCACAAAGCUUCAGAUAUACAGCUUUUAAAAUCAUGUUCAGGUUUCUUUCUAAAUUGGUGAUACAACCUUCUUGUGGCUUAUGAUUCUGUUAAUUUACAUAUCUUAUCGUUCUUCAUUGUUAAGCUCUCUCAUAUUUAAUUUAUUUUUAUUCAACAAAUGUCACAUCAGAAGAAACUAACAGUUCGAUCCAGACACACCAGUGCAAAAGAAAAUAAAAUUAUCAUGCUGUGAGGUACCUGCCUAUCACUGGCACAUCUGUGGCACAAAAAUUGAACUAUGAAAUGCAAAUCAUAUAUAUAAUCAUGAAGAGUCGGUCAGGUUAUACCAACCUUGCUGAUUUAGCAAGCUUGUGGUGUGACAGGCUCUGUAUCCAAUGGCUUCAGCCUUGUAUGGAUGUGCUGGAAUGUGUAAUAAAUACAAUACAAUACAAUACCUAACCUACAAGUUGCCAACCUCCUUGCUGUUAUGCAGAAUCCAUAUAUAAGAGUUCCAAACUGAACUGGCUGAUUGAGUUUGUUAUACAUGCCAUAUAGGUGGAUUCCUUAUAUUUCCUGUACCCACUGUUAAUUUCAGUUUUCAAAAUCCUGGCUUCAUCCAACCUACCUUCUUCAUGGACAUGUUGGGCUAGUUUUGUCUUUUGUAAAGGACUGUCUGAGAAUGUGACGCUGCACAGUUAGUGGUCUGCAUAUUUCACUAACAGCUGUUGCCACAGAGAAUGCUAUAGGUGCAAUGUGCUGCCUGUUGCAGAUAUCUUACCAGUCUAGUUCCCAUGAAUGGACUCCUAAAAAUAUUUUGUUUUGAAGGUAGUUUUAAUGUUGAAAUGAUUCCAUAUCUGUUAUGAAUUGCAUGGUUCAGUUUGUGGAGCAUCUGAAAGUAGCAAAACAACAUUGACAGUUUCAUUUCUUGGCUGGAAAUCAACCAGUAUGCACUCCUCAGCAUUCCAGAAGAGUGUGACAAUGAUUUUUUCAGCUGAAGGUAUGGUUCUGGCCUUUUCUUUGUAAGGUGUGAAUAGUCUCAGAAGCUGGAGUGCUUAUAAACUCCAUGUCAUACUGCUAUCACUGCUUCUUUGGAAAUAAACAGCAGUUUUCUUUUGUGUGGAACCAGCUUUCAUUACCAGUCACAUUGUUCAGUAGGAAGUCAUCGCCUCUGAAGUGCAUCAUUGAAGCAACUGUGGUGAUACAUUACUGCAUACUUCUGUGCUCAUCUCACAGCUGUUGCUAAACCCCAAAACAACAAACGUUCUUGUAUCCCUAAGUAUUUUUCUUCUCCAAUGUCAAGCUGCAUUACAGGUUCUGUAACUGUUGUCCCUCAGUCUGCUGUGAUGAAUGCAUUGCAUUCGAUGGUGGUAGUUCUUGGCUGACAUCUGUGAGACAGAUUGGUGAUGUCCCUGCUGCCAUAUUUGACUUGUUCACCCAGCAUCAUACAUUGCUGGCACCCAUGUAUGAAUCCCCAUGUACAUGAUGGAUUCGAAUAAAGAUAACUGUAACAGAACAUUUCUCCUGUAUGAGGAAUUCACUCACAGCACUCUGGUGAAAUGACACAUCAUUUGUAGCCAUUUGGUUCCGAGGGAUUAUGGCUCAGUGAUGGACCAUGUGUGCUGUUUUUCAGAUUGCAGAAAACUAAUGCAGCUUUCUGCUGAGGUGUCUUACAGUAGUGUUUUUACCGAAGUGUAGAAUGUAAAUAACAAAAUUAUUAAUUAAAUAAGUUGUUUACUCUCUUUUAUUUGGUUGAUAUGUGUUAACAGAACGAAAUUUACAUUCAAAUUGUGUUAUGUUGGUAUGAUUGACUGGGACUGGUAGUAAGUAGUGCUGCGCUCUGUGAGUUCGUGUACUGUAGCGAAAUAAACAGUCACCUAACAGCCAUGUAGUGUUCUAAUUUGUUUGCAUGAUACCGCUUCAUACAAAGACUAAGAAAUAAAGUUUUACAACAUAAGAAAUUAACAGGUUAUGGGCCCAGGCAGAAAAUAUUACGCCCUGAAGUGUGUUGUGUGAAAUGGUCGAACUUGUUCAGUGAUUCGUGUGGGAGUUUUCUCUUUUUUUUUCCGUGGAAAAUUGUUAGGCGCGAGAGGGGGGCAUCUGUUGAAGAGAUCCAUUCAAAAUGGCGGAGCGAAGUAUGUAUUAUAUGGGUAACCAAGAGGAGAAAACUUACGAUACCGAAAAUAACACGACGCAAUUAUAAUGGGUGGAUGGCGCGUGUGAAGUCAGAACUUUUAUUACGUGAAUGCUGGGAGCCAAUCGCUGGAUAUGAAGACGCGGCAGGAGCGCAAUUAUCACAAACGGAGAUGAGGAGAGUCAAAGAAAACCUUAACAGCAUUAGCAGUCAUCAUAAGAACUGUAAGUGACGAACUGAUCAACGACAUACAUGACUGCAAUGACGCCAGAGAAGCAUGGGGAAUAUUGGACAAAGUAUGUAACGAAAACACAGAAUACGGUGCCAUGACAAAACUAAGAGAAUUAGCUUGAAUACAGAAAUUUGAGGAUGUAAGCAUGCGAGAUUACUGCUCAAAGAUUAUGACUUAAUAGGCUACUGAAGAGAAAUGAUCUUAGAUUUUCAGACAGACAGCAGCAACAUGUCUUAACUGGACUACCCAAACCCAAAUAUGAGAUAACAGAGAAGACACUGAUAGCGCAACCAAAUAAUUUACAAAUAGCAGUAGUUAAGCAAUACUUACUUAAAGAAGAGGAGCAAGAAAAGCAAGAUGAGGAAGAACAUCAGGCACUUAAAGUGAAGAGAAAUUACUCAAGGAGACAAACAGAGACGAAAGAUGCAGAAGAGAAGCAGAACUGCCAAAAUCAACACAGCUAUCAGGGCAAAGGGAAAUUCAGACCCCGAGGAGGUAAGCAGUAUGAGCGUACCAAGCAGCGGUUUUGGUGCUAUGCAUGUGGGGAAGAAAACCAGAUUGUAUACAAUUGCCCUAGGCGGUUGGAAGGAGCCAAUAACAAAGGGAAGAUAAACGGUGAAAGGAAGAUUAAAGAUGUGGAAACCAAAGGUGAGAAGAAGGAGAGGGCCAGCGCAUCUCUAGUAACUAUGGAGCAUAUACUACUAUGUACUAAGAAGAAUAUAACAAACAAUGGAAGUGUAUGGCUGUUCGACAGUGGAGCAUCUGAUCAUAUGACAAACAGGAAGGAUCUCACGCACAACUUUGCAAGCAUAAAUGGAGAGGUAGUAGUAGGUGAUGGAGCCCCUUUAAAAAUUGCAGGAAAGGGAAGGAUAACGCUCUAAAUGUCCCAGGAAUGCGGAGGAAAUGAUAUAGAGUUAAAAGGUGUGCUUUAUGUCCCAGAGCUACAAGAUAGUCUUAAUUUCUCAAGGCCAGAUUGAAGAAAAUGGACUUAAGAUUGUGAUGCACAACAGUACGUCGAAAAUCAUAUGUAAUGAGAUGAUGAUAUUCCAAGCUCACCGAGUGUCAAGGCUGUAUUAUGUAAUGACCCUGGGUAGCACCACUGUGGACAACAUCAAGGAGGCAUAUGACAGGCAGAAGAGUGGAGAGAGUGAGUGUUCACCAUGUGAUGAGAACCAUUCCCAACUGGAGAAGGGGAAAAGGCCGAAGAAGUUUUAGACAGAGUCCACUCUGAUGUUAUAGGACCAAUAUCACUUAUGUCAAUGCGACAGAAGAAAUACAUCAUUAUGUUCAUAGACGAAGCAUCAAGGUACGUAACAGCUGUUGCUAUCAGAAGAAAGAGUGAGACAUUGGCGGAGUUCAUAAAGUACAAAAAUAGGGCAGAAUUACUGCAUGAUAAGAAAAUUAAAGAGUUACAGACAGACCAGGGGACCGAGUACCUAGAAGCCGGUGUACAGAAAUAUUUACAGGAAAAUGGAAUACAGCACAGGAGAUCAGUUAUCUACACACCUCAGCAGAAUGGCUUAUGUGAGCGCGUGAAUUUAACAUUGUGUAAUGUGAUCAGAUGCAUAUUGAUUGAAUCAGGACUACGAGUAGCUUUUGGGCAAAGGCAUUACAAACAGCUUGCUAUAUGAGGAACAGGUGCCCAUCAGAAGUUAUCCAGUUCAAGACACCAUUAGAGAUAUGGAAAGGGAGAGACUUGAAGAAAGAAGACUUCCAACACAUGAGGGUGUUUGGGAGCAGGGCAUGGGAAUGGGUCCCCGAUGCACACCAAGAAGGGAAAUUUAGCCUUUGUGCAAGAGAAUGUGUGUUCCUUGGUUAUGAUGAUGGAACAAAGGGGUACCAUCUCUGGGACAAAGAAUGUAGAGUGAUAAUUAAUAGUCGAGAUGUUAAGUUUCAGGAACACACAUUCCCAUACCUGGAAAGGUGAUAUCAUCAAGCGAGGAAACGACCCUAAUACGAAUCGGAGAAACACCAGAUGAACAGGGACUUCUAAUUGGAGAGAACAGCUUAGAUCAGGAUGAAAUAACUUACACUGGUGACAAUAUACGUCCAACGAGAGGUACUGGACCAAAAGGAAGAGAGGGCUCAGUCACCAUCUCAACCAAGAAGGACGGAGAGGAUUAAAUACUCAAAGCCAAGGUUUGAGCUACCAUGUUGCAUGAGAGCCACACACCUGACGUCCGAGGAGACUGUAUCACCACUGGAAAUUAUUCCUACAGUUCAUGAGGCACUCAGCGGCCCCAGGAGCUGGAAACGAUGAGGAACCAGGAGACGUGGGAAUUAGUUAAGAAACCAGAGAACUGUAAUGUCAUAGGAUGCAAGUGGGUAUUUACAGUCAAAACUAUCAAUGGAAGGAUUGUUAGAUAUAAAGCUAGAUUAGUGGCUCAGGGUUUCAAGCAGAUUCAUGGGGUGGACUACACAGAGACAUUUAUUUAGUCCAGUACUUCACAAGAAAACGAUGAGGACACUUCUAGCUAUUGCUGUAGAGAGACAGUGGGAAAUGAUACAUAUAGAUGUGACUGGGGCUUACCUGAAUAGCAAACUUGAAAAUCUGAUCUAUAUGAAGCAACCCCCAGGUUUUGAGGAGAGGGGAGACAGUUUUGUCUGUAAGCUUCGAAACAGCAUCUCAGGCCUUAAGCAGUCAGGUAGGGACUGAACAAACAUUUGCAUUGAAUCUUGGUAAAUAAGUUAAGUUUUAAACGGUGUGUAAAGGACGCUUGUGUAUAUGUAAAGAAAUCAAUUGUUUUAGCAGUAUAUGUAGAUGAUAUGCUUUUAAUUGGCAAAGGAGAGGUAUGAAAGAAAUUCGAGAGAAGCUAUCAGAUGACUUGGAUGUGAAAGAUCUGGGUGAAGUUUCAAAAUUUUUGUCCAUUAAUAUCAGAAAGGGAGGUAGUGGUGAGUUAAUCCUAGAGCAAGAAAAAUAUAUUGACUGGCUGUUAGGUGAAUUCAAUAUGGGAAACUGGAAAGGGCUUAGUUCACCAUUGGAAGUUGGAUGUAUUAACACUGAUAGGGCUACUGAGAAGAAAUUUUGUCAAUCUAUUUACUGUAAGGUUGUAGGAUGCCUUCAAGACCAGGUAUCACAAACCCUGUCUGUAUAGUUAGCCAACACUGCAAAGACCCUACUUUCACAAAGUGGAAUAAUGUUAAGCACAUUUAAAGAAGACCAAAAGUUACAGAUUACAUUUUUGUAAGACAAACAAGGAGACUUCUGUGUUUACAGAUUCUGAUUGGGCUACUAAUAAGAUGGACAGUAUUUCUGUUUCAGGAUAUUGUUUCAUACUAGCAGGAGGAGUCGUAUGUUGGCGUAGCAAGAAACAAAACCGAGUUGCCGUUCUUCUACGCGUUAUGUGUACAUGGCAAAAUAUGAAUGUGUCUCGGAGUUCGAAUGGUUUAGGGACUUUCUUCUACAUGAGGUGGGUCACCAGUGACCUGAUUUGUACACACUGUGGCUACUGCCUGUGCAAACACCAGCACCAUCCACCAGACAGGAGUGUGCCAUGACAUUAUAUCCCUUUAUUUUAUUGUGACAUGACUACUUAAAGGCUCGAUAAACAAGCGAGCUGUCACUAGGCAAUGGCUCAUCAAGAUGUCAGCAACAGUGA